rnacentral:rRNA from 1 species
AACGAACGCUGGCGGCAUGCCUAACACAUGCAAGUCGAACGAGACCUUCGGGUCCAGUGGCGCACGGGUGCGUAACGCGAGGGAACCUGCCCUUAGGUUCGGAAUACCUCCCCGAAAGGGGUGCUAAUACCGGAUAAGGUCUUCGGCCCAACGAUAUAUCGCCCUUGGAGGGGCCCGCGUUGGAUUAGCUAUUUGGGAGGGUAAAAGCCUACCAAGGCCACGAUCCAUAGCUGGGCUGAGUGGAUGAUCAGCAACACUGGGACUGGGACACGUCCCGGACGCCUACGGAAGGCAGCAGUGGGGAAUAUGGGACACUGGGCGAAAGCCUGAUCCCGCAGGGCCGCGUGAGUGAUGAAGGCCUUAGGGUUGUAAAGCUCUUUUACCCGGGAUGAUAAUGCCAUUACCGGUAGAAUAAGCUCCGGCUAACUCCGU